rnacentral:rRNA from 1 species
GACGAACGCUGGCGGCGUGCUUAACACAUGCAAGUCGAACGGAAAGGCCCUGCUUUUGUGGGGUGCUCGAGUGGCGAACGGGUGAGUAACACGUGAGUAACCUUCCCUUGACUUUGGGAUAACUUCAGGAAACUUGGGCUAAUACCGGAUAGGAGCUCCUGCUGCAUGGUGGGGGUUGGAAAGUUUCGGCGGUUGGGGAUGGACUCGCGGCUUAUCAGCUUGUUGGUGGGGUAGUGGCUUACCAAGGCUUUGACGGGUAGCCGGCCUGAGAGGGUGACCGGACACAUUGGGACUGAGAUACGGCCCAGACUCCUACGGGAGGCAGCAGUGGGGAAUAUUGCACAAUGGGCGGAAGCCUGAUGCAGCAACGCCGCGUGCGGGAUGACGGCCUUCGGGUUGUAAACCGCUUUCGCCUGUGACGAAGCGUGAGUGACGGUAAUGGGUAAAGAAGCACCGGCUAACUACGUG